AUUAGGAAUCUUGCACAAUGGGGGAAACCCUGAUGCAGCGACGCCGCGUGCGGGACGAAGGCAUUCGUGUCGUAAACCGCUUUUGAUAGGGAAGAAGAAUGUGACGGUACCUAUCGAAUAAGCCCCGGCUAACUACGUGCCAGCAGCCGCGGUAAUACGUAGGGGGCGAGCGUUGUCCGAAGUUACUGGGCGUAAAGCGCGCGUAGGCGGUCAUUUAAGUCUGGGGUGAAAGGUUCAACGCUCAACGUGAACAGUGCCUUGGAUACUGGGUGACUUGAGUUCGGGAGGGGGCAGUGGAAUUCCAGGUGUAGCGGUGAAAUGCGUAGAUAUCUGGAGGAACACCGAUGGCGAAGGCAGCUGCCUGGCCCAGAACUGACGCUGAGGUGCGAAAGCGUGGGGAGCGAACGG
rnacentral:rRNA from 1 species